CCUAAGAGAUACGUGUUAUGUGAAGUGCUCACACAGAUUGUCUGAUGAAGAACGAGCAGAGAUACCGGUAUAGGCUUGUAGCUCAGGUGGUUAGAGCGCACCCCUGAUAAGGGUGAGGUCGGUGGUUCAAGUCCACUCAGGCCUACCACUUUUCCUUUAUGCUGUGUUGUGAAGCAACUCGUUUACAUUAAGUAAACUUCGUUACUCCACGCCUUGCCUAAAGAAAAAGCUUCUUAUUAUAAGAAGAAAAAGGAGUGGUUAUACGGGUAUUAAAAUAUUAUGGGGCUAUAGCUCAGCUGGGAGAGCGCCUGCCUUGCACGCAGGAGGUCAGCGGUUCGAUCCCGCUUAGCUCCACCAUAAUCUCUUGAAUAUAAAACAAUGAUUCAGAGUAUAUUAGGAAUAGUAUACUGUGAAUUAUUAUGCUCUUUAACAAUCUGGAACAAGCUGAAAAAUUGAAAACAAAUCAAUAUAUCAACGAGGUAUAUUGGUGAGUCUCUCAAAAUCUCAAACCUUAAAGUUUGUCACGCAAAGUUUAUCUUUGAAAAAGACACUUUCGGGUUGUGA
rnacentral:misc_RNA from 1 species